CUUUCCUGAGCACCUUCCCGAGAACCCUAUCCCCCAGCGCCGGGCACUCGGGCUCCUCUUCUCUCUGCCUCUGGGUCCUUCCCUUUCCCUCCCCCCCGCGCGUCCCCUUUAAGGAGCUCCCACAACAAUGAGCUCGACGGCCGCCGCUUCCCCGGUCCUGCCUUUUCGCCUCCCUCGUUCCCCAUUGGCCGGCCGGGAGAAAGCAAGACGGGAAGGGAUUGGCCGGGCAAAACUGUCGCUCAAGCAGGAACAAUGUACGCCCCCAUGUUGUGGGAGAGGGGGUUUAAAAACACUGCUUGAUGAUUAUCAAGCACAAAGUGGGUGCUGCUAGAAUUAAUAUCAUACCAAAGCUGACUGGCACAACCUAGGGAUUGAUUGAUUUAUUGUAUCAGAUGCGAAUUGAGAAUAAUGACUAUAUAUAUGUAUAUGUAAGUAUACAUACAUGAAUAUAUUCAUGUAUGAAUAUGUAUAUAUAUAUAUAUAUAUAUACAGUAGAGUCUCACUUAUCCAACGUAAACGGGCCGACAGAAUGUUGGAUAAGCGAAUAUGUUGGAUAAUAAGGAGGGAUUAAGGAAAAGCCUAUUAAACAGUAAACUACGUUAUGAUUUUACAAAUUAAGUGCCAAAACAUCAUGUUACACAACAAAUUUGUCAAAAAAAGUAGAUACGCAGUAAUGUUAUGUUGUGGGGUGCAGACCCACAAGUAAUAAGAACAUCAGCCCUGGCCUUGUCUUUCUCAACUGCGGAGUACGCCUGUCCUGUCUGGCAAAAGUCUGCCCAUGCGAAGCAGGUGGACAUAGCACUGAACGAAACAUGCAGAAUCAUCACAGGAUGCCUUAAACCUAGAGUUGAUAAACUCUAUAAGUUAGCUAGUAUUGCCCCUCCUGAUGUGUGACGGGAAGUUGCUGCUAACGGUGAGAGAAAAAAGGUCGAACAUCGUGAAAGCCACUCACUGCAUGACUAUCAGCCAUGGCCACCUCCAGUUCCUUCAAGAUCAAGCCAGUCACUUCAAGGAUACCAUCCAUCCACCUUACCCUUGGUCGGCCCCUCUUCAUUUUUCCUUCCAUUUUCCCCAGCAUCAUUGUCUUCUCCAAGCUUUCUUGUCUUCUCAUUAUGUGACCAAAGUACUUCAUCUUUGCCUCUAGUAUCCUUCCCUCUAGUGAGCAGUUGGGCAUUAUUUCCUGGAGUAUGGACUGGUUGGAUCAUCUUGCGGUCUUGCAGAAUCUUCCUCCAGCACCAGAGUUCAAAAGCAUCUAUCUUCCUUUGCUCAGCCUUCCUUAUGGUCCAGCUCUCGCAUCCAUAGCUUACUACAAGGAAUACAAUUGCUUUAACUAUGCAGACCUUCGAACAUACAAAGUAAAAAUUAAAACAGAUUAAAACUCAAUAAAUUCCUUAUAGCAACCUGAUUAUUUAAAACGAUCAGCAAUAAAACCCUAUUUACAAAUAUAACAUACAUAUUUAAAACCAUUAAUUAACCCCAUUGGGAGCCAAAUUCACAAAACAGAGAUCAAACAAAGCACACUUAAAAUUCAUGUUUCAAGACUGUCUGGGUAGGCCUGCCAGAAGAGAUAGGUCUUUACAUGGUUUUAAAUUCCAACAGUUCAUUUAGCUGUUAAGAGUUCUUCGGGCAAACUGUUCCACAGUAAUGGAGCGGUCAAUAAAAAGGUCCUCUGGGUGAUAGUUGCCAGUUGGGUUCUGGCUGGUUGAAGCAGACACCUCCCAGAAGACCGAAGUAUAUGGAGUGGAUUGUAUGAGAGAAAGAGAUCCUGUAGGUAACCUGGACCCAAACCAUGUAGGUCAAAAGGUCAAAACCAUCACCUUGUAUUUUGCCCGGAGACUAAUUGGCAGCCAGUGGAGUGACCUUAGGAUAGGUGUGAUAUGCUCACUCCUAGAUGUUCCUGUGACCAAUCUGGAUGCCGUAUUUUGAACCAGCUGGAGUUUUCGAACUUGGUACAAGGGUAGCCCAAUGUAAAGUGCAUUGCAGAAGUCCAAGCUUGAGGUUACCAGUGCAUGCACUUCAGGUCCUCCAGAUCUUGGAAGGGGCACAGCUGGCGGAUCAGCUGAAGCUGAAAGUAAACACUCUUUGACUAUUGCAUCUACCUGGGCUGACAUUUAGAGAGACGGAUCCAGAAGCAUUCCCAAACAGCGGACACAGUCUUUCAGGAGAAGUGUAACUCCAUCUAGAACCUCCAUCCCCAGGUUAGGACCCUUGAUGGCAAGCAUCUGUGUUUUGUCUGGAUUCAAUUUCAAUUUAUUUUUCCUCAUCCAGCCCAUUACGUCCUCCAGGCAUUUAUUCAGAAGAGACACGCUGUUUUGAAAGGCAUUAUCACAGGAUGUCUACGCCCCACACCGCUGGAGAAAUGAUACCGUUUAGCCAGUAUUGCACCACUUGACAUCUGUUGGGAAAUAGCAGCCGAUAAAGA
ensembl:lncRNA